rnacentral:rRNA from 2 species
UGAAGCGUGGACGCCAGUCUGCGUGGAGCCGACCUUGAAAUACCACCCUUUAAUGUUUGAUGUUCUAACGUGGACCCGUAAUCCGGGUUGCGGACAGUGUCUGGUGGGUAGUUUGACUGGGGCGGUCUCCUCCUAAAGAGUAACGGAGGAGCACGAAGGUUGGCUAAUCCUGGUCGGACAUCAGGAGGUUAGUGCAAUGGCAUAAGCCAGCUUGACUGCGAGCGUGACGGCGCGAGCAGGUGCGAAAGCAGGUCAUAGUGAUCCGGUGGUUCUGAAUGGAAGGGCCAUCGCUCAACGGAUAAAAGGUACUCCGGGGAUAACAGGCUGAUACCGCCCAAGAGUUCAUAUCGACGGCGGUGUUUGGCACCUCGAUGUCGGCUCAUCACAUCCUGGGGCUGAAGUAGGUCCCAAGGGUAUGGCUGUUCGCCAUUUAAAGUGGUACGCGAGCUGGGUUUAGAACGUCGUGAGACAGUUCGGUCCCUAUCUGCCGUGGGCGCUGGAGAACUGAGGGGGGCUGCUCCUAGUACGAGAGGACCGGAGUGGACGCAUCACUGGUGUUCGGGUUGUCAUGCCAAUGGCACUGCCCGGUAGCUAAAUGCGGAAGAGAUAAGUGCUGAAAGCAUCUAAGCACGAAACUUGCCCCGA